GAUGAACGCUAGCUACAGGCUUAACACAUGCAAGUCGAGGGGUAACGAGAGGGAAGCUUGCUUUCCUUGUCGACGACCGGCGAAUGGGUGAGUAACGCGUAUCCAACCUGCCCUUCAGUAAGGGAUAGCCUUUCGAAAGAAAGAAUAAUACCUUAUAAUAUCGUUUGAUGACAUCAGACGACGAUUAAAGAUUUAUCGCUGAAGGAUGGGGAUGCGUCCCAUUAGGCAGUAGGCGGGGUAACGGCCCACCUAACCUACGAUGGGUAGGGGUUCUGAGAGGAAGGUCCCCCACAUUGGAACUGAGACACGGUCCAAACUCCUACGGGAGGCAGCAGUGAGGAAUAUUGGUCAAUGGCCGUAAGGCUGAACCAGCCAAGUAGCGUGCAGGAUGACGGCCCUAUGGGUUGUAAAGCUCUGUUAUAAGGGACGAACAGCUUUGCUAGGAAAUGAGCAGAGUCUGACGGUACUUUAUCAGAAAGCCACGGCUAACUACGUG
rnacentral:rRNA from 1 species